GACGAACGCUGGCGGCGUGCUUAACACAUGCAAGUCGAACGGAAAGGCCCUGCUUUUGUGGGGUGCUCGAGUGGCGAACGGGUGAGUAACACGUGAGUAACCUGCCCUUGACUUUGGGAUAACUUCAGGAAACUGGGGCUAAUACCGGAUAGGAGCUCCUGCUGCAUGGUGGGGGUUGGAAAGUUUCGGCGGUUGGGGAUGGACUCGCGGCUUAUCAGCUUGUUGGUGGGGUAGUGGCUUACCAAGGCUUUGACGGGUAGCCGGCCUGAGAGGGUGACCGGCCACAUGGGGACUGAGAUACGGCCCAGACUCCUACGGGAGGCAGCAGUGGGGAAUAUGGCACAAUGGGCGGAAGCCUGAUGAAGCAACGCCGCGGGCGUGAUGACGGCCUUCGGGUUGUAAACCGCUUUCGCCUGUGACGAAGCGUGAGUGACGGUAAUGGGUAAAGAAGCACCGGCUAACUACGUG
rnacentral:rRNA from 1 species